rnacentral:rRNA from 1 species
CACGUAGGGUGCGAGCGUUGUCCGGAAUUAUUGGGCGUAAAGGGCGCGUAGGCGGCGCAACAAGUCACUUGUGAAAUCUCCGGGCUUAACUCGGAAAGGUCAAGUGAUACUGUUGUGCUAGAGUGCGGAAGGGGCAACUGGAAUUCUCGGUGUAGCGGUGAAAUGCGUAGAUAUCGAGAGGAACACCUGCGGCGAAGGCGGGUUGCUGGGCCGACACUGACGCUGAUGCGCGAAAGCCAGGGGAGCGAACGGG